rnacentral:rRNA from 1 species
UACGUAGGUGGCAAGCGUUGUCCGGAUUUACUGGGUGUAAAGGGCGUGCAGCCGGGCUGACAAGUCAGAUGUGAAAUCCCGCGGCUCAACCGCGGAACUGCAUUUGAAACUGUCAGUCUUGAAUACCGGAGAGGUCAUCGGAAUUCCUUGUGUAGCGGUGAAAUGCGUAGAUAUAAGGAAGAACACCAGUGGCGAAGGCGGAUGACUGGACGGCAACUGACGGUGAGGCGCGAAAGCGUGGGGAGCAAACAGG